AAUGAACGCUGGCGGCAUGCCUAACACAUGCAAGUCGAACGAAGGCUUCGGCCUUAGUGGCGCACGGGUGCGUAACGCGUGGGAAUCUGCCCUUGGGUUCGGAAUAACAGUUAGAAAUGACUGCUAAUACCGGAUGAUGUCGUAAGACCAAAGAUUUAUCGCCCAAGGAUGAGCCCGCGUAGGAUUAGCUAGUUGGUGGGGUAAAGGCCUACCAAGGCGACGAUCCUUAGCUGGUCUGAGAGGAUGAUCAGCCACACUGGGAGUGAGACACGGCCCAGACUCCUACGGGAGGCAGCAGUGGGGGAUGUUGGAAAGUGGGCGAAAGGAUGAACCAGCAAUGCCGCGUGAGUGAUGAAGGCAUUAGGGUUGUAAAGCUCUUUUACCCGGGAUGAUAAUGACAGUACCGGGAGAAUAAGCUCCGGCUAACUUCGUG
rnacentral:rRNA from 1 species